UUCCGGUUGAUCCUGCCGGACCCGACUGCUAUCGGAGUGGGACUAAGCCAUGCGAGUCCCGGGCUGGCGGGACGUGGCGUACGGCUCAGUAACACGUGGCCAACNUACCCUGCGGACGGCUAUAACCCCGGGAAACUGGGGUUAAUAGCCGAUAGGGGAUAGGCGCUGGAAGGCCCUAUCCCCGAAAAGGCUACACACCCAUGCCGUGUGUAGCCGCCGCAGGAUGGGGCUGCGCCCUAUCAGGUAGUAGUGGGGUAACGGCCCACCUAGCCUAUAACGGGUGCGGGCCCUGGGAGGGGGAGCCCGGAGAUGGGCACUGAGACAAAGGCCCAGGCCCUACGGGGCGCAGCAGGCGCGAAACCUCCGCUAUGCGCGAAAGCGCGACGGGGCCACUCCGAGUGCCGCCCGCUGAGGGCGGCUUUUGCCCAGUCCAAAAGGCUGGGCGAAUAAGGGGAGGGCAAGAUUGGUGUCAGCCGCCGCUGGUAAUACCAACUCCCCGAGUGGUCGGGACGAUUAUUGGGCUUAAAGCGUCCGUAGCCGGUCGGGUGUGUCGUCGGUUAAAUCCGACGUCUCAAGCGUCGGACUGCCGGCGAUACUACCCGGCUAGGGAGCGGGAGAGGCGGCGGUAUUCCCGGGGUAGGGGUAAAAUCCUCAGAUCCCGGGAGG
rnacentral:rRNA from 1 species